GACGAACGCUGGCGGCGUGCUUAACACAUGCAAGUCGAACGGAAAGGCCCUGCUUUUGUGGGGUGCUCGAGUGGCGAACGGGUGAGUAACACGUGAGUAACCUGCCCUUGACUUUGGGAUAACUUCAGGAAACUGGGGCUAAUACCGGAUAGGAGCUCCUGCUGCAUGGGGGGGGUUGGAAAGUUUCGGCGGUUGGGGAUGGACUCGCGGCUUAUCAGCUUGUUGGUGGGGUAGUGGCUUACCAAGGCUUUGACGGGUAGCCGGCCUGAGAGGGUGACCGGCCACAUUGGGCCUGCGAUACGGCCCAGACUCCUACGGGAGGCAGCAGUGGGGAAUAUUGCCCAAUGGGCGGAAGCCUGAUGCAGCAACGCCGCGUGCGGGAUGACGGCCUUCGGGUUGUAAACCGCUUUCGCCUGUGACGAAGCGUGAGUGACGGUAAUGGGUAAAGAAGCACCGGCUAACUACGUG
rnacentral:rRNA from 1 species